rnacentral:rRNA from 1 species
AACUUUCAACAACGGAUCUCUUGGUUCUGGCAUCGAUGAAGAACGCAGCGAAAUGCGAUAAGUAAUGUGAAUUGCAGAAUUCAGUGAAUCAUGAAUCUUUGAACGCACAUUGCGCCCCCUGGUAUUCCGGGGGGCAUGCCUGUUCGAGCGUCAUUU